AGAGUUUGAUCCUGGCUCAGGACGAACGCUGGCGGCGCGCCUAACACAUGCAAGUCGAACGAGAGAUGAGGAGCUUGCUCUUCAAAUCGAGUGGCGAACGGGUGAGUAACGCGUGAGGAACCUGCCUCAAAGAGGGGGACAACAGUUGGAAACGACUGCUAAUACCGCAUAAGCCCACGGCUCGGCAUCGAGCAGAGGGAAAAGGAGCAAUCCGCUUUGAGAUGGCCUCGCGUCCGAUUAGCUAGUUGGUGAGGUAACGGCCCACCAAGGCGACGAUCGGUAGCCGGACUGAGAGGUUGAACGGCCACAUUGGGACUGAGACACGGCCCAGACUCCUACGGGAGGCAGCAGUGGGGAAUAUUGCACAAUGGGGGAAACCCUGAUGCAGCGACGCCGCGUGGAGGAAGAAGGUCUUCGGAUUGUAAACUCCUGUUGUUGAGGAAGAUAAUGACGGUACUCAACAAGGAAGUGACGGCUAACUACGUGCCAGCAGCCGCGGUAAAACGUAGGUCACAAGCGUUGUCCGGAAUUACUGGGUGUAAAGGGAGCGCAGGCGGGAGAACAAGUUGGAAGUGAAAUCCAUGGGCUCAACCCAUGAACUGCUUUCAAAACUGUUUUUCUUGAGUAGUGCAGAGGUAGGCGGAAUUCCCGGUGUAGCGGUGGAAUGCGUAGAUAUCGGGAGGAACACCAGUGGCGAAGGCGGCCUACUGGGCACCAACUGACGCUGAGGCUCGAAAGUGUGGGUAGCAAACAGGAUUAGAUACCCUGGUAGUCCACACCGUAAACGAUGAUUACUAGGUGUUGGAGGAUUGACCCCUUCAGUGCCGCAGUUAACACAAUAAGUAAUCCACCUGGGGAGUACGACCGCAAGGUUGAAACUCAAAGGAAUUGACGGGGGCCCGCAC
rnacentral:rRNA from 2 species